ACAAUAUUAAAAGCACAAUAUUUAAAGUUUCUCCUCUUAAGCAUUUUCUUGAAAAUCAUCUCUGUGUUAAAAGGGCUAUGUGCAAAACUACAGAGAGACAAGUCUGCUCCCAUGGAUGCACUGAACUCCAACACAAAUGCAGAGUGGAAUGAUGGUUAUGAUAAUAUAUCAGAUAAAGUGAAAAUUAUGAUUGAAAAAAAAUAAUACGAGGCAAAGAACAAUCAAGGCAGCACAAAGAAAGCUAGGGAAAAGAUGUAUCAUAGCAACUGCAUAUCUCACUGUUGGAGGUGCAGGAAGCAGCCUCAAAAGAAGCCAGUUGUCUCAGAUAAUAUUUUUAGGCUCUGAAGUAAGAUCAGAAAUGUAGUCUUCAUGAAGAAUCACCAGACAAGGUCAUUCAUCUGCUGAAGGAGCUGAGGCACUCAACAAGAUUAAUUCAGUCAGAUGCAGCAAACUGUGGCUCAUGAGAGGAUCUGAAUAGUCCUGUUUCCUUACACAAAGCACAAUUUAAGUUAGAAAUGAUCAAGCCGGUCACAAGGAUCAUGCAAAAGUUUGGAAACUCUAUGCCCAGAAGAAUGUGUUGCUCACAAUGUUUUGUUCAAAAAGAAACAAGCAUUUAAAGAAUGUGUUAAAGCUUUUAGCAGUGUGAUGACAGAAUGUGGAAAAAUUAGAGGUCUUCACUGCAAAAGGAAAAGUUUUGUCAGAACUCUGAAGAGAAGGACCAUAACCAGAGACAGUCCGAGCUUUGGAUAACGGAACCAGGUACCAGUGAUGGAAAAGCAAUUGGAAAGUGAGAUUAGAUUUACUUGGUGAAGAAACACUUACUUCUACUAAAUAUGUUUGCUCAUCACUGCUUUGGAAAUUGAACCAGAAGCAUAAAUGUGGGAUGGUCAUUCAGCAUGUGGCUGCAAUGGUCUUGGGAAACCAAGGAGGUACUUGGGCUGGUAAAUCUAGAGAAGUUCUUCACUUCGAAUUAGAAGAUGCAAGCAAACCAGAUGAACAAUCAAACAGUGCUGAACAAGAGAAUUUGAACCUCAGAAUAAAAGAGCUGGAGAAAUCGGAGCAAGAACUGAAAGGUAUUUUAGAAGAAUACAUGGAUUCAGAUUCCAUGCUAAGAAAUAGGAUGAAAGAGCUGGAGCUGUCACACAAAACCCUUCUUGUGAUGAUUGAUCAACUAAAUGUGAAGGUGCACCUGGUUGAAAAUGCAAAUGUGCGUGUUAAGGGGAAACUGCGAGUCAUUUCGGAGGAGCUGAUGAACUUGGUUGAAAACCAAGAAAAGUCAGAGAAGAAGCAAAGGGGAAAACUACACUGGCUUCAGGAACAGCUGAAGACAAAAGAAGAUGAAGUAAAAACCCAGUCAGAAUAUUUUGAGCACUACAAACAAAGGCAGAAGCGACAGACAACAAUGCAGAGAGAAAGGGAAUGUUACCUUCGGGGAGAGGUAUCUAGGCUGGAAAAGCAAGUGUUAGAUCUCAAUGCCCAUAUUGCUCUUUUAACAUCUGAGUUAGAAGAGGGAAUGGUGCAGUGUCUCCAACAGAAGCUGGAAUCAGCAUCCACUGGGACUCAGGGCUAUAAACUUUCUGAAAUGGAAGUAACAGAAUUGAAAACUUGCAUUGAAAACAUUGAGCAUGACAUGAAAAGCCAUGUUGAGUCAUUUCAGCAAAAUCUGAAGUUCUUACGGGAAAAAGGGGAGGACAACAGAAGAGAACAGGCAGACCUGGUGACUGAACUCCAGUGCUCCCAGGACACUGAAGACUUUCUCAGAAGAAAAUUGGAAGAAUCUUGCAAUUAUGUUUAUAAUCUGAAAUUAUCUGAAAUCAAACUACAGAAACAAGUGGAAGACCUUUUGGAUGAAAACAGGGUUUUAAAAGAUCAAGGUAGGGUGAAGUUAAAAAAGAAGGAAGAAAAGGACUCACAAAGGACUCACAGAUUGGAAAAUGGAGACAGCAGUGCUGACCUGAAUGGUGACCUAGUCCAGGACGACGUUCAAAAUCUGAAAUGGGGAGCAGUAUCAGAUACACUGAGAAACAGAGCUACACAAACUCCAGUUGUACUGCUACAUGCCAAAGAGUACGAAACACCAGGAUGUAGUUUUGAUGGGCUAAAGCAGACAGAGAAGCUAUGGGAAGAAAUUCUACCAGUUUUGGAACAAAAUUCCGGACCCUUUGCAAACAUUUCUGAAGAACUUGGCUUAGCCGAGAUCAAACUGGUCACUCUUGGGACAAAAAGGCCAGGAGGUCUAGAAGCUAGUUUUACUUUGUUUAGAUGUACCCCGAGCUAUCCUGUAGCAAGACUGUUUUCACCUUGCUCUGAGAAGUUAACUAAUGAUGAGACAUGUAAGGAAAUCAGAGAUGAAGAAUACUUUUCUCCCUUGAAGAAACAAACUAUAAAUCUACCAACAAAGAUGUUCCCUGUUUCUGUGGUAGAAGCUUUAAUGAGAAACGAGCCCCACCUUACCUUGUUAAAACCUGAAAGCUACCAUGUAGAAGCUGUUACAAUGGUGAAGAAAGUGAGGAGUUUGAAUUUCAGUAAUGCAGAUACCGCUCUUUGCUCUGAUGGCCUCUGUGUUGCAGAACAAUGUUUCUCUGAAAAAGCUUCUGUAGUUCUUCAUGGAAACCCCCCUUGCUUUGUGAGUGACAAUUUCACAUCCUAUCUAGAAAAAUGUUGUUUGGAAAAACAUCAGCAAAGCAAACAAAUUCUACCAAAAAAUAAAUGUAAAAGUCUGGAUAGGGUUAAUGAUAUAAAGUAUCACCAAAAAAUCUUUAGAAGGAGAGUUAAAGGAGAGGAAAUACAUACUGAGAAAGCCCAAGCACAACAAGUUACCUGUGUUUUUGAGGAAAAUUCUGAAGUUUUAAAUAAAACUGUGUUGAUUAGGCCUGGGAAGCAUGUAAUGGACACUAAAGACAAACCAGAUAGCCCAGAAGGUGUCCACAAUAUAUCUGUAGAUUUUAAAGACUUACAGAAUCAUUUCAAUGGGAGUCUUGAACUGAAGAAGAAACAAAAAACCCUCUCAACUUGCAUCUCUGAUGUGACCAGGACAUGCAAUAGAGGAAACAUAAUGAAAGUGGAAGAGAAAGGGGAGAAACCUCAUAAACCAACUUACCAGAUAAACUCUUCCAGGAAUAUUGGACUGAAAGAAAAGAAAGACCAGUCUGUGAAAUUACAUAAAUCAAAAGAGAAGAAUUUCUCAUGUCAAAAGGUGUCUGCUGAAAACACACAAUAUGCAUAUCCUCAGAAAAGUUUUUGGUCAGAGGAAGAGAGUUAUCCACUAAAAAUACUGUCUCCUAUGCAAAAGAGGGCUGUGUGUGUAAGCAAAGAGUUCCUGCCAGAAAGUGAUUUUUAUGAGUAUUUCUGUCAUCUGUCACCACCGGAAGCAGUUAAUGAGCAUAACGUGAAAAUACAUACAUUGAAAAAAGCAGUGGCUAUGUGUUCUCAGAGAAUAUUUCUACUGAUGCAAGAGAAUGAAAAUUACUCAGAAAAGGUCUGUUUAUUACAAGAGGAGAAUGAGAGAUAUGUUCACAAGAUGUGUGCACUGGAAGAGGAGAUGAAUGCAUAUUUUCAAUAUGCUUUAGAAGUAGAUGAAGCUAACAUUGCUUCUUUUCAAAGUUUACUUAAUGAGAAUGAAGUUGCUGGUAUAUACAACAUAUGUAACAACAUAUCAGAAGAAAAUAGAAUGAGCCCAGGAACAAUAUUUGCUGAAAACUUCUCUAAGAACCUCUCAUAUGUUGAAGAUAAAAAUAGGAAUUCUGAAAAAGAUUCAUUGAGAGUUGAAUCAAAUCACCUUCCCAAAAGUGUUUUAUCCCUUAGUGAAAGGAAAAUGAGGUAUUUACAGCUGCUUUCUGACUUGAAAGAAGAAAGAAGUAGAUGCUUCAUAGAAAUAGCUAAAUUAUUACAAGACAAGGAGAACUAUGUAGCAAAAUAUAAUGAAUUAAUACAAGAGAGAGAGAGAAACUUGCACAGAAUAUCUCUUUUAGAAGAUGAAAAAGAAACUUUAUUGAGAAGUUUGGCAGAAGUAAAAUGUCAGCAAGACAAAUACCAAGCCUUGGUUUCAGAACUUCAAGAGUGCAAAACCAGCUGUUAUCAAACUAUUUCUGAUUUACAGGAGGAAAAAUGUGUACUAAAAAGAACUAUAGACAGAAUCAAGAAAGAAACUGCAGAACAAUUUAAUGAAUUUCAAAAAGCAAAUGCAAACCUUAUUGUAGAAAACAACAAAUUAAAAGAAUUAAUGUCUUCUUCGUGUUUCACCUAUGAAGAUCUGAGAAAAGAAAAAUGCUUGGGAACAAAGGAAAAUGUAGUAAACCUAAAAGAAGAAAAUAGAAGUCAACAACAUGAUCUUAAUCCAAAGAAAGUUGAAACAUCAUGUAGUAUAACUCAGACUGAAGAAGAAGGAGUAGACCCCUCCAGCUAUUUCCCCAGCAAAGAGGGCAGCAUGUUUGAAAGCUACAGUGUGAUGAAAGAGCAAGUGGAAAAUGCAAAAGAAGAACUAAAAAUAAAGCAAAAGGAAUUGGAAAAAUCAAAAAAAGAGGCUCAGAAGUGGUACAGGGAACUUGGCUUUGCUGAAACAAGGUAUGAAGAAAUCAAAACUCGUUUGAUACAGGUUCUGUCUGAAUUAGACCAUCUUAAACAAGAAGCUGGGGACAAAAUGCUUCAAAAGCAGCACUGCAAAUUCAUGCCUGUGUACAAUGUUGAAGAUGCCCAGGAAAUAGAGGAUAAUAAAAUAGCCAAUAAGAGAUUACAGCAGCAAGUGCUGACCUUGAAAGCCCAGCUCAGGGACCAGGCUGCAUUACAAAAUCAGUUUCACAGCUUGCAAAAUGAAGUGGAACUCCUUCAGACUCAGCUAUGUGAAAAGACAAAAGAACUUCAGAAGAGAAAGUCUGAUGUGAAGCUGAUGCUAGCUCCUCUGAAGGCUAAGUUGGCUUGCCUCACACGAAAAUGCCAGGAAAGGAACAGCUUCAUUACCAGGAUGCACAGUGAAUUUCACCAGCAAGGAUUUAAGAACUCCGCAUUUGAUGAAGAGGUGAGAUGCCUGGUGAACGACAUGGCCAUGGCAGAGUACUCAGCCACUUUUACACCAAUGUGUGAUCAAGAGAUGCUGCCUUCUUCCACAGACAUUUCAGAGGCCAGUGGACAGCCAGAGGAUCACGAGACAUAUGUCAGAGUGAACAGGAUGAUAGGGUCAAAACCUGCAAACUCUGUCCGAGAGGUGGAUGGCAUCCACAGUUCUCACAUCUCUCCAAAUGUGUAUGCCAGUUCUCCUAUAAAAUUAAGAAGCCCGGAGAAGAUCAUAGCCUUGCAUCGGGAACUAAGACAAAACCAUUGCAAAAAUUGCCAGAUACCUUCAGCUGAUCCCUCCAAUGCGAACCCCACGGGUGACCGCAACCUGCCCAUGAUCCAGGAGGAAACCCCUUGGCCUCCGCUCUCAAAGAUGAAGGAGACACUGAAGCCUUCAGAGCAUGGUGCUUCCUGGGCCAUAAAAGGGAGGGACCGCUUGUCCAAACGGGAUGAUGUAUUUUGGGGUCAAAUAGGAAAUCAGCAUGCAGGUGCUAUUCCCCAGGGAAAGAAACAGAAAAAUGUCAUUACAAAUAAUGCAUGGCUCUCUAGAGAUAAAACAGAUGGCUCAACCUCAGCUACCACUGCAAAAAACUAUUUGUCAGACGUGUUGUCAGCAAGUAAUAAAGGUUGAAAUCCUGUGGGGAGAAAUCAGCUGCACGGGAAAGAAUAUAAACCUCAGAAAUAAAACCAGGUAAGAAAAAGUACUCACUGGGCACAGACAGAACUUUUGGAGCUAUGACUGAUAUUGCAAGCUGAGUUCCUUAUCAGACCUUGUAAGGGAACAAUGUAUUGCUCACAUAGAAGAAGCAAUACUGCUCUGAAGAAACUCUGAAAAGUUUUUUGACCUGGAGGUUACCACAGCUGCUUCGUUAUGGGAAAACUGAGAAGCUGCACUGAUUUACCAUCUGCCUUGUUUUAGCCACAACCUGUAGUGAAAGUUGGCUUUGUGAGCCAAACUGCUGCGUAGUUUGAGAUUUUAUUUGUUUGUUUGUUUGUUUUUCUUAGGAUCUCAGCAUUUGCAUUUUAAAGAAAAUUCUAUGUUAAGUACAGACCUCAGUCUUUAUGGGUCUGCUUAUGUGGGCAUGUAAUAUCUUCAGCCUCGUAUGGUCUUGAGAAUUGCUAAACAAUGCUUUGAUCUGAGUUAGGAUGCUGAGUAAUUCUGAGGACAUGUUACUUGAAGUGCUGGCUAUGAAAUGAGAUUUUUAAAAGGGUAAGUAGGAAUUGAGGAGGCACUUGGAACAUCAGAACACUGUGUCAUAAUACUAUAGAUUGAUUAUUUCAACCACAUGAAUAGGCCACACUGAAUUUAAUUUUUGGAUAAGUUAUUCACAUGCAUACUUUCUUUUCCUGAAAUAGGUGUUUUUGUGCACACUGGUUGGUAAUAUUACAUGUAGUUGCAAAAUGUUUUUUGCAUCACUAUGUAUAAAGUAAGUUUAUGCACCCAUAUCCCUGCUAUUCAUAUCUGAAUACCUAUUUGUGAAGGCAGGGAGAUGUGAACACUCGUGCAUAUGGAUAUGUACAUUCCUUUUUUAACUAAAGGCUUGCACACAUCACUGUUGAAGGCAAUACUCAGGUUGACCUGAGUGGGAGUAGCUAUGGGUACUGCUCUCCAAAACACUCCCUUACAGUGUAAUGCACUUUCAGUGUUGAUAACUGUUUUAUGACUUCUAUUUCCUCUUUUUAUAUUUUUUAUUUUUUUAAUGUUGAGCUAGAUGCUAGAAUGUGCUGCUCUUUACAAAGCUUUGUCUCCCAGUAAUAGCAGAUAUUCUUUGAAAGGAGGCAGAAGUGGAAACUGUGGAAUCCCAGAUCAGAUUAAUGUAAUGUGCAUUUCUAGAUUAUGAUUAGUAACAAGAUGACACGUUGGCAUGGUAACACUUGAAGCUUAACUACAAGUUCUUAAAAUAAAGCAAUGACAUAUGUGUAGGUUUCUCUCCAUGUGCGUCCCCUCCACCUGAAAACAUGUAUCAUUUCCACAACUCUCAGGCAAUUAAACCCUACUUCUUACUUUUGAAUUAAGUGCUGAACUAAAACAUCAUGCCUCUUUCCUAGUAGUUAUGCAUAAUAUCCCACCAUGAGUUAUAAAUGUUGAUAAUGAACCUGUGCAUUUUGUGACAUCUUAGGCUUUCUGCCAUUAGGUUUCAUUUAAAAAUGAUUAGCAUAAAGAACAUAAAGCAUGCAUCAUUCCUUGAGAUCCACAUUGAUCUUUAAAUUCUGCCACCUCCUAAUAUGAAAAUCGUCUUACCAAUAUUGGAAAACCGUGUUUAUUAUUUAAAUUGACAGACUGGUGGGUGCAUUUCAUGUGGCUGAGGAUUGGCAAGUAAAAUCCUAACUUUACCUGAAAUCACUGUAAUAAAGUGGUAAAGUUUUUAAUGUGAGAUUAUCAGCUGAGACUGAGAGCCUAGCUAUUAUUUUCUGGUUGGCUUAUGGUGGAAAGUGCUGUCUAGUUGCUAUAGAGUCUGUUCAGUUUCCUUUCACUAAGCAGGAGCUAACCUGUUUAGAUGUGCUGUCUAUGGCAAAUGUGCCAGGCGCUGCUUUACAUGUGUCAUUGUUUUGUGUUAAACUUUCUCAGAAUGCAAAAUGGGGCACUUUGUUCAGAUUGCUUUAUAUGCACAAUAUUGCUUUGACCAAAUUCCUUACAGCCAGAGAAUCGAGAUGCUGCUAAGUUCUGCCUAAGUAAAUACAGCCUUCUUCUCUCACCCUAUGUGGACAAAAUGGGCAGUAUUACAUUAAGAUUUCUUUGGCAGUUCAUUUAUUCCCAUAUACUGUACAGUAUAGAGCAUCACAAGAUAUUGAAAAUGCAGCUUACGGUAUUUCCACAGCUCCUUUUGCAACCUUGAGACCCUGAAUUCUAUUCUUCACACCAAUAUGUAUGGCAUAUGCUGGGAGUACAGUGAUUGACUCCUGCACGAUAAUCAUGUUACAUUCAGAAUAAUACAGUUGCCAGGAAAUAUUUCACAUACGCACUUCAGUUCCCAAGUUAAACCUUCUGCUAAGGCAUGGCUGAUGUUUGUCCUUGUGGGCUUUUAAAAAGUGGAAGCCCAGAUCUGUGCUUCACAAAUCAACCUGCAUUUCUAACUUGCAGAUGAAGGACUUCAGUAUUUGAAUUUUCCAUGGUCGUGGGGUGGAGGGAGGGACAUGUGCAUGCUGGGUUUUGCCACUAAUCCUUCAGAAAUCCUUUAGUGCCUUAAGGAGGCAGAGGGGAAACAGACAUGAGGAUUACAGAAAUUUGCUCAAACCUCUUUCCUGCUUCAGCAGAGUUCCUUUAAAAUAUAUUGUGCCUUUGGCUCCAAAUAUAUUUGCAUUAGAAAUCAGUAGCUAUGGGAUUAUAGACAGGAAUUUUUGUCCCUGUACAAAUGUUAGGAAAGAAAGUAUACUGUUUCUUAUGUAGGAUGUGAAUUAAAAAUACAGCUAACAAGUUCUACGUUGGCAUCCAUACACAAACUAUUAUUUGACAAUGACUUGCAAGUUGAAGGUAAAGCCAAAA